rnacentral:rRNA from 1 species
AAUGAACGUUGGCGGCGUGGAUUAGGCAUGCAAGUCGUGCGCGAACUGUAGCAAUACAGGGAGAGCGGCGAAAGGGAGAGUAAUACAUGGAUAGCUACCCUCGGGACUGGGAUAGCGGCGGGAAACUGCCGGUAAUACCAGAUGACAUCUUCGGAUCAAACGUGUGAAUCGGCCCGAGGAGGCGACCAUGUCCUAUCAGCUAGUUGGCAGGGUAACGGCCUACCAAGGCAAAGACGGGUAUGGGGCGUGAGAGCGUGCCCCCACUCACUGGGACGGAGAACUGCCCAGAGACCUACGGAUGGCUGCAGUCGAGAAUCUUCGGCAAUGGGCGCAAGCCUGACCGAGCGACGCCGCGUGCGGGAUGAAGGCCUUCGGGUUGUAAACCGCUGUCGUAGGGGAGGAAGGCUCCGUGCAGAACGGAGUUUGACCGAUCCUAGGAGGAAGGGCCGGCUAAUCUCGUGCCAGCCGCCGCCGUAA